GGUUCGAUUCUGGCUCAGAUUGAACGCCAAGGGAUGCUUUACACAUGCAAGUCGAACGGCAGCGCGGACUUCGGUCUAGUGGCGAGUGGCGAACGGUGAGUAAUGUAUCGGAACGUGCCUAGUAGCGGGGGAUAACUACGCGAAAGCGUAGCGAUAAUGCACAUUGCCUUCGGGGGAAAGUGGGACCUUCGGGCCUCGCACUAUUAGAGCGGCUUUGAUAUCGAUUAGCUUAGGUUGGUGGGUAAUACCACCAAGGCGACGAUCCGUAGCUGGUUUGAGAGGACGACCAGCCACACUGGGACCAGACACGGCCCAGACUCCUACGGGAGGCAGCAGGGGAAUUUUACAAUGGGGAAACCCUGAUCCAGCCAUCCCGCGUGUGCGAUGAAGGCCUUCGGGCUUGUAAAAGCACCCUGGCAGGAGGAAACGGCACGUGAUAUACCUCGCAACUGACGGUACCGUGAAUAAGCGGCCUGGCUAACUACGUACAGCAGCCGCGGUAAUACGUAGGGUAAAGCGUUAAUCGGAAUUACUGGGCGUAAAGCGUGCGCAGGCGGUUCGGAAAGAAAGGGGAAACUCAGUGUUUUAACUUUGGAACUGCAUUUAACUACCGAGCUAGAGGUGUCAGAGGGAGGUGAAUUCCGCGUAGCAGGAAUGCGUAGAUAUGGAGGAAUACCGAUGGCGAAGGCAACCUCCUGGGAUAACACUGACGCUCAUGCACGAAAGCGUGGGGAUGUACCAGACUAGAUACCCUGGUGUCCACGCCCUAAACGAUGUCAACUAGCUGUUGGGGCCUUCGGGCUUUGGUAGCGCAGCUUAACGCGUGAAGUUGACCGCCUGGGGAGUACGGUCGCAAGAUUAAACCCAAAGGACUGACGGGACCUGGCAAGCGGUGGAUGAUGUGGAUUAAUCUGAUGCAACGCGAAAAACCUUACCUACCUCAUGUCUUGGAACUUGGUGAGAUUUGGGAGUGCUCGCAAGAGAACCGGAACACAGGUGCUGCAUGGCUGUCGUCAGCUCGCCUUCACGAGAUGUUGGCCAAGUCCUGCAACGAGCACAACUCCUUGUCAUUAGUUGCUACGAAAGGGCACUCUAUCGAGACCGCCGGUGACAACCGUGGGAGGAAGGGGGGGAUGACGUCAAGUCCUCAUGGCCCUUAUGGGCAGGGCUUCGCACGUCAUACAGUGGCCGACAGAGGGUCGCCAACCCGCGAGGGGGAGCCAAUCCCAGAAACCGAUCAGAACUGGAUCGCAGUCUGCAACUUCCGACUGCGUGAAGUCGGAAUCGCUAGUAAUCGCGGAUCAGCAUGUCGCGGUGAAUACGUUCCCGGGUCUUGUACAUAUCUGCCCGUCACACCAUGGGAGUGGGUUUUACCAGAAGUAGUUAGCCUAACCGUAAGGAGGGCGAUUACCACGUGGUAGGAUCUAUAAUCGUGGAAGUCGUAACAAGGUAA
rnacentral:rRNA from 1 species